UGAGAGAGAGCGAUGCAUAUUAGGGUUGGGCGGUAUCCAAAUUUUGAUACCGUCAAACCUCCUCCCUAUUUUACCGCGGUAUAUGGUAUUACCGUGACUAAUUAAAAAUUAUGACGUAAGGCUCAGACGGCGUCACCAAACUGUUGGCUUAUGUACCGUUCAGAAACUGAAUACCAAACACUAAUACUGAAACAAUAAUAACAUAACAACAACUUAGAAAAAAACUACUUUCUCCUCCACACUGUAACGUGAUGACAACCACACAUAAUUACAUAAAUUAUAUUUAAUAUUUAA